rnacentral:lncRNA from 1 species
GCCAGGUCGGCGUUCCCGGGCCUUGCCGGAGCGCCGCCGCAGAGGAUCCCUGGCCGUCCCGGAAAUGCUUUCGGCCAGCGCCAACAUGGCUGCGGCCCUGCGGGCUGCGGGCGCUCUGCUCCGCGAGCCGCUGGUGCACGGCAGCUCAAGGGCCUGUCAGCCAUGGAGGUGCCAGUCGGGUGCUGCGGUGGCAGCCACCACGGAGAAGGUACAUCAUGCCAAGACCACCAAACCCCAAGCUCAACCAGAAAGGAGGUAACUUCUGUCUCGAAUAAGGUUCUCCUUGUUUUUUGUUUUGUUUUUUGUUUUUUUCUAUUGUGACAAACAUGAGUGGGUUCGAGCAACCUAUGGGGAGAGGUACUUAGGAAAAUCUAAUAUAUUUAUUAGCAAUGGUGCAAUAUUUUCUUGGUUUCCUUUUAACAUCUGUUAAAUAAUAGGUUUUAAGGACUAACAAAGGGCAUAUAGUUAAAUAUAGUCUUCAGUCAUAUAAGAAUCUGGCCUUGGUAUAUGUCAAUAUAUCAAAUCAAUUAUGUGCAUAUCAGAACCCUCGGUGUGAACUGAACAUAUUUAUGCCUAUGAAACAAAUGCUUUGUAUAGGAUAAAAAGUAGUUAACCUACCAAGAACUUCUCCAGGAGAUUCUACCAUUACUACUUUUAGCUUUUCACAUCACAAACAUAAUUGCCAAUGACAUGCUAUGGCUUAUAGCUUACUAAGGAAAUAGAGUGCACGUCAUUCAUUCUUGGUGUUUUUCUGGGUGGAGGCAGUAACCAGGGUGUGUGUUUUCUUCAGCAGCAGAAGCCAUAGAUGCCCACAGGGCCUCGCCUCUGUGAUAGAGAAGAGCACAUUUUAUACAGGGGGAAUUGUUCAGCUCUAAGAAGGAAUUCGCUGAGUCAUAGCGACAUCUUUAUCUUCUUGCCAAACAAGACGUCACUCUAGAGCUGGACAGAGGAUGGGUUGCUUCCCUGCUGCUGUGAUAAACCACAACUUACAGAAGAGUGUAUUUGGGCUUCUAGUUUCGAGGGAGUCAAAAGGCAGGGCAACUAGAGCAGCAUCAGAGAGCUCCCCUCUUGAACUACAGCAGGAAGGAGGGAGAGCAAACCUGGAGUGGUGUGAGUCACGAAACCUGGGAAUCCAACCUCAGUGACAUAUACCUCCUCCAGCAAGACCAGACCUCCUAAACCCAUCCACACAGUCCCACCAGUAAGGGACCAAGUAUUCGGAUGCCCUAGAUUGCGGAGGGCAUUCUCAUUCAGACCACCAUGACCAUGUACACGAAAUGGUUUCAUUUUGUGAUGGUUAUUGUUCAUCGUGUUGUGGGCUCAUUGAUCGAAGGCUACAAAACUGAGGUUGAUUUAGGAUAUGGAAUUAGGGAUAGGUCCCAAAUCCCUUCCCCUCAACUCUGUCUUCCUGGGAUACAGAGUUAGUAGGUAAGAUAGGAAACAUAGUUGUGCCUAGCAGGAUGCUGGCCCCCUGUCCCUGAGGUCCCUUACAACUUGAAAAAAGUAUUAAUGUGAGCUGAAGAACUAGUUUGAUGAGGAAGGAGCCUAGAAGAAAGAUUAUUUCAUUGCUGUAUUUUGUAGUGACAAAAGUCAAUAAUAUCAGUGGCCUUAUAUUAAUUGGUAAAAUUAAAUAAAGCUAGGUUCUACUAAAUGACUUUAUAUAAUUUUAUAAAAAAGUAGAAAACUCAUGUGGAAAGAAAGGAUUUAAAAGUCAUAAUCUUAUCAUCUAGUGUUUUUUUUUUAAAUAUUUUUAUUUAUAUGAGUACAUUGUAGCCGUCUUCAGACACACCAGAAGAGGGCAUCUGAUCACUUUACAAAGAUGGUUGUGAGCCACCAUGUGGUUGCUGGGAAUUGAACUCGGGACUUCUGGAAGAACAGUGUUCCUAACCGCUGACCCAUCUCUCUAGCCCAUCUAGUGUUUUAUUAUGCACUUAUAUAUCCUUACUGACAUGCAAACAAUACUGUAUAUAUUAUUUUACAGUUUUUUAUCUACUGUCACCAAGGAUCUACACAUACUAUGUGUUUUUUUGUUUUUUUUUAAUCUUGUUGCUGUGACAAAAUACCUACAAAGUCAGCAUAAAGAAGGGCUUUAUUCUCGCUCACCGUUUCCGGGCACAGUCCAUGGCGGUGGCAGUGUGUUUGGAAGACCUUGUGCUGUUUAGUGCUUGGCUUGAGCUAAACUACAACGCUGACCAGCUGCUGUACUAGCUUAGGAGUCCGCAGGCUUUUAGGAGGAAAAUGGCUGCUUAUUUAUUUACUAGAUUUUUAUAGGCCACACCAUCUCCUUUGUUGCUCUUUACCUUUGCUAGGACAACAUCAAGGCAGCCAUAGGUAAAACAAACGCAAGGGCAGGGCUUUGUUUGUCUGUGUGUGUGUGAGGCUGUGUGCGAGUGUAAAUUUGGCGUGGGUUCGGUUGUUACCUGCUGUUUCUGUUCUAGAAAGAGCCGAGAUCCUUGGGUCACUGAUGCGUUGUAGGUUCACAACUGAGGCUUUAUUGUUCUUCAUCGGUGCUAUCUUGAUGCCAUAGAAUAAAAUGACCGCGUGCUAAUGGAUGAGCUCCUAUUAUGCACAUUUCAUGGUUCAAAGGGAAAGCUUUGGCCUUUCAAAGUCCCAGAAUAUAACAAACGCAAAGCAUUUAAACUUCUCGGAGUAAGUUUUAAAAUCUGUGUCUUCGCUGUGCAUACAAUUAUGUCUCCAAACAAAGAGAGCUGUGGCCAGGGCAGACCUUGGCCUCAGGUGUGGUCUGUCUGGAGGGGGAAAAAAGAGACAGAGACCCUUGAUUAAAGCCUUGUACUUCAUACUCUAAAACAGAGUGGAGGCAGACUAAUGCACCGUUCACCAUGCACAACACAGUUUUGAAUUAAGUGUUUCGUGUGUUGGGGGCGGGGGGGGGGUGUCUUCAAAUCAUAUGCGACUCUUUCAUGUUUAAAAUCAACACGGGUUUGCAAAGACGUGAGCAGGGCACAGUAACAUGCGCUUUAAAGCCACUCCUGUUCUGAGCUCAGGUGUCACGGGUGGAAAGCACAGUUCUAAAUCCCGUUUGCACUUUGAUACCCUCUGUGGCUUAGGUAAGUCUUUUAGCCCGGGCUUUCUUAACCGGUAAUCUGUUAACUGGCAGCAAUCCAUGGGAAAAGGCACUUAAUUUAUUAGGAGUCACAGAUUUGGAGGGUGAAAAGACAAGACCCGGGGGGAGAUGGGUGGUCUCAGUGGUCUCAGGGGGAAGGUUAGGGGGGACUGUAGUCUCACCAGGUGAUGGUGCAUCUGGCAUGUUCAGGAGCUAGAAAACUCAACAGCCCCGUCUAGUUGUAGCAUUUUUGUAUGAAAAAAAGUUUUGUAGGGGCUAGGGAGAUGGUUCUGGGUUAAGGGUCUGCUUUCAGUAUAGGUUGGAGUUCCUACACCCACAUAAAAUCUGGGCACAGUUUUGUGUGUCAUAAUCCCAAGCAUGGGGAGUUGGUCAGGAGCAGGAAGAGCCUAGGGGUUCACUAUUCAGUUAGUGGAGUUGAAUUGCUAAGCUUCAGGUCAGUGAGAGACCUUGUCUCAAAAAAUAAAGU